rnacentral:rRNA from 1 species
GACAGAGGGUGCAACCGUUGUUCGGAAUUACUGGGCGUAAAGCGCGUGUAGGCGGCCCUGCAAGUCGGAUGUGAAAUCCCACGGCUCAACCGUGGAAGUGCAUUCGAAACUGCAGGGCUAGAGUCCUGGAGAGGAGGGUGGAAUGCUUGGUGUAGAGGUGAAAUUCGUAGAUAUCAAGCGGAACACCGGUGGCGAAGGCGGCCUUCUGGACAGUGACUGACGCUGAGACGCGAAAGCGUGGGGAGCAAACAGG